CGCUUAAGAGGUAAAGUUGACGAUUUUCAACCCUUUGAAGCACGUUGCGGAUAAGCGCCGACCUCCCGGUGCUGCCGCCAUUCAUCUCCAUGUACGGCAGAACAUAAAAUCUGCAAACUUUCCCUCAAGUUACCAGCUAACGCUAGCAGUAGCUAGCUAGCUUGGCUAGCAAGCUGAACAAAAUGUUU